rnacentral:miRNA from 1 species
AUAUUACAAUUAGCUCAUCUUU